rnacentral:rRNA from 1 species
GAUGAACGCUGGCGGCGUGCCUAAUACAUGCAAGUCGAGCGAAUGGAUUAAGAGCUUGCUCUUAUGAAGUUAGCGGCGGACGGGUGAGUAACACGUGGGUAACCUGCCCAUAAGACUGGGAUAACUCCGGGAAACCGGGGCUAAUACCGGAUAAUAUUUUGAACUGCAUGGUUCAAAAUUUAAUGGCGGCUUCGGCUGUCACUUAUGGAUGGACCCGCGUCGCAUUAGCUAGUUGGUGAGGUAACGGCUCACCAAGGGAACGAUGCGUAGCCGACCUGAGAGGGUGAUCGGCCACACUGGGACUGAGACACGGCCCAGACUCCUACGGGAGGCAGCAGUAGGGAAUCUUCCGCAAUGGACGAAAGUCUGACGGAGCAACGCCGCGUGAGUGAUGAAGGCUUUCGGGUCGUAAAGCUCUGUUGUUAGGGAAGAACAAGUGCUAGUUGAAUAAGCUGGCACCUUGACGGUACCUAACCAGAAAGCCACGGCUAACUACGUGCCAGCCGCCGCAGUAA